rnacentral:tRNA from 1 species
GCGGGUAUCGUAUAAUGGCUAUUACCUCAGCCUUCCAAGCUGAUGAUGCGGGUUCGAUUCCCGCCACCCCGCUCCA